ensembl:snRNA U2 U2 spliceosomal RNA
AUCGCUUCUCGGCCUUUUGGCUAAGAUCAAGUGUAGUAACAAUUAUGGACUGGGCCUGGCCCCUAGAGGUCUCUGAGUUUGCUUCCUGUGGCAUACAUCUUCCAUUCAAGUCUUUAUCUUUGCUUUUCAAGCUCCUAAUACGAGAGAUAGGAGCUCAUGAUAAUUAGGGAUGAAAAACCCCCAAAUGUAGCGUAUGAAGA